rnacentral:rRNA from 1 species
UGCAGCGCGUACCAACCGGAGCGGAUGAGUGGCGGCAGCAUGGCCAUGGGCGCGAGGAGCAAGCACCAUCCCAAAUCUCUGGCCCUGCGCUGCUACUGCUACGCGGCGAGCCACCGCUCCCUGACCCUGCUGGUGUGGGGCCUGGCGGCGCUGGUGGUCCUUCUGAAUUUCCACCUGCUCGUCACCCACGGCAAGGAUGACCAGAGCGGCAGGCCCCGCGAGAUCCACCGGACGAUACUCAGGGAGCUGGAGGUGGUGGAGGAGGAGAGGUUCCAGGUGACGCCCGCCCGCAGCCGGAGGAACCCCCGGGCCGUGCGGCGCAAGGGGGAGCACACCAAGCCGCUGUCCGUGGUGGACGAGUUCUUGGACGAGUCCUCCGCGGUGCACGACAUGUUCUUCCCGGAGCCGAGGACGGCCAUCGAUCCCGUCCAUGGCGGCAACGACAGCAUGUACUUCUACCACCCCGGGAGGGUGUGGCUCGACACCGACGGCAAGCCGAUCCAGGCUCAUGGAGGCGGCGUGCUGUAUGAUGAGAGGACCGAGACCUACUUCUGGUACGGGGAGAACAAGGAUGGGAAGACCUACAAAGCUCACAGCAAGGGUGCUGAUCGAGUUGACAUCGUUGGAGUGAGUUGCUAUUCUUCCAAGGACCUGUGGGCAUGGAAAAAUGAAGGAGUCGUGCUCCGUGGCGAGAAAAAGAAUGUGACACAUGACCUCCACGUAUCCAACGUCCUGGAGAGGCCGAAGGUGAUCUACAACGAUCGGACCGGCAAAUACGUGAUGUGGAUGCACAUAGAUGAUGCUAACUACACCAAGGCAUCGGUCGGCGUGGCGGUCAGCGACUCUCCCACAGGCCCGUUCUCCUACCUCUACAGCAAGCGCCCACAUGACUGCGAGAGCAGAGACAUGACCAUUUUCAAGGAUGACAAUGGGAAGGCCUACCUGAUAUACUCAUCCGAGGACAACAGCGAGCUCCACAUCGGCCAGCUAACCGACGACUACCUCGACGUGACGGACGACAUGAGGAGGCUUCUCGUCGCGCAGCACCGAGAAGCCCCGUCGCUCUUCAAGUUCGACGGCACCUACUACAUGAUAACCUCAGGGUGCACGGGCUGGGCGCCGAACACCGCGCUGGCUCACGCCGCGACGUCGGUCAUGGGGCCUUGGGAGACGCUGGGUAACCCCUGCGUGGGAGGGAACGACAUAUUCCGGUCGACCACGUUCUUCUCCCAGAGCACAUUCGUGCUGCCACUCCCAGGCUUAAGAGGCUCGUUCAUCUUCAUGGCCGACCGGUGGAACCCUUCGGAGCUGCGGGACUCGCGGUACGUGUGGCUGCCGCUGACGGUAGGUGGCGUGCCCGAUGAGGCCGCAGACUACAGCUUCAUGUUCCCGCUCUGGUCCCGGGUGUCGAUUUACUGGCACCGGCGAUGGCGGCUCCCUGAGGGGUGGACAGAUUCUUGA